rnacentral:lncRNA from 1 species
CACAGGGACUCCAGAACACUUGAGACCAUGACUCGAAGAAAGUGACAUGACCCCAGGGAUUCUCCAAGACAACCAAUCUAACAGUCGGUUUUCACUAAAGUUUUAAAGCUGCCCAGCUUAGUUCAUGAGGCUCAUUUCAUUUGGACUCCCAAAUUGGAUAAAGACUAAUCAAGAGGAUUAUAUGCCCUUUGGGUAGAUGUAAACUGAAUUCAUCACUGUAUGGUUCAUUCCAGAAUGCUAGAGUGACACAGUAGUUCCAACAGAUGGCCAAUUUUUGUUUUUUAAAAACUGUGUCAGAAAACACUGCAUAGAAAAGAGCUUCCUUUGGGGCAUUGCUGGUCCUGUUAGGGAAACAAUGAGAGGAGGCAGCAAAUGUCAAAGCUUCCUCAUGGUCACCGGGAGAGGGUGCACUAAAAUCUUACAGGUCAUCCUGGAAGAAGGCAAAAAUUAGUAGUAAGGAGAUGAGGCUGCCACAGCUCCCUACAUGCACACAGACACACGUGUGUACAAGCAUGCAUGUAGAGGUAGCACGGGACCUCUUUUUUUUUUCUUUUCUUUUUGAUACCAGAAAUCGAACUCAGGACCUUGUACUUGCAAGGCAGGCACUGGAACCACUGAGCUAAAUCUCUGGCCCUCGCCUGCCUUCUCUGCACAAUCAAAAUGGACCCCUCUUCAGAGCUGUGACCAUGACUACAACUGGGAAAUGAUGUUUCCCCACUUUGUGCCAUGUGUUUAUUCAUUUCCAACAAAUGUGCACUGAGCAUCUCAGUUCCAGAACCUGAGCUGGACACCAUGCUGUACACAAGACACACAGUCCUUGCCUUUCGGGACUUCCAGACUUCAUGUCAUUCAACACUUCAUGGCCAUGGUCAGAUAAUUAAGCCAGCAUUAGCGGAUGUAACCAAAUAACCACAUGAAUCUAGCCUCAGCCUCAGCUGCAGUAGGAGCUGAGUCAGAUGGUGGAAGUAAGCUGUGUAACAGGGUCACACCCGGUCCAGAAAGUGAGUGAGACUUCCCUGAGGAAGUGGUAGCUGAGCUGACUGCGAAAAACAAGAAGUUCCACAGGGAAAGACCCCUCAUGUUGACUCCAUCACUGAGAAAUACCUCGGCUUGUCUCCUUCACCCUCUCCCCAUCCAGUCCUCCAGUGUGGACAUGGCUGUUCUGGCCUCCUGGGAUGCAGCUCUGACCAUGUCAUCGCCCCACAGAGAACCACCCUGGGCCCUCUGCAGCUCAUGGGUGUGCCUCAGACUUGGACGUCUCCCUGCCACGACACCCACAUGCACGCCUCCGACACCAUCGAGGUUGCCAGCUAUCAUAGUUAGGACGCUGAGAUCCCUGAGACCAUCUUCUGUGCUUUUUCACUGGAGGAUUCUAAAAAAUGGAAGGCUGGUGAUCCAUGUUGACACUGUGUUGGGGUACUACCUCUGAGGCAAGUGAUGUCCUGGAUUCCAUUUCCUGUCUUACACACAUCUUUUUUACUCUUCCUGGGCUUUCUUUUAUUACACUUUCAUUUUUAUUUGUACUUUUGCUUUCAUUUUUCAAAGUCUAUAUAUGGUUUUAUAUUCUUGAGUACAACCAAGCCACAGUAGACAUGGUGAGAGUGAUCAUCAAUCUCUUUCUUGGAUGACAGUUCCUUUCUAAGUCAAAGAAACAUUUAGGACUGGGCAGGAUGGCAUUGCCCACAGUCCCAGCACUCUGGGGAGCUGAGGCAGGAAGACUGCAAGUUUGAACCCAGCCUGGGCAACUUAGCAACCUAGUGAGACCCGGUCUCAAAAAAUAAAAAGGACUGGGGAUGUAGUGCAAAGGCCCAGUAAAAAAAUAAAAAGAGAAAGAAGAGAAAAAAGAUAGUGAGGAAGGAAGGGAGAGACAGAAGAUUGAUUUAGGGGCUGGGACUGUAAUUCAGUGCUAGGUCACUUGUAUAACAUGCUUAAGGCCCUGAGCUCAAUCCCCAAUUCUGCAAAAAGAAAUAUUUGACUCACACAUGAUUACAAUCACUUAGUUUCAACUUAUUACAAACUACAUUAUAUCAAAUGCCUGCUAUCAGUGGUGGGAGGCUCUUUUUAAACUUGUCUAAAAUGUAAUAUUCAUACAGAAAUUGGACAGACUCUAAGUGGUCAGCUCAAUAAGUGGUCAGUUUUGUUUUGUUUUUGUUUUGUUUUUUGGUACUGGGGAUCAAACUCAGGACCUUGUGCUUGUGAAGCAGGCACUGGAACCAAUGAGCUAAAUCCCUGGCCCAAGUGGUUGGUUUUAUAAGUGGAACACACCUGUAUCGACAGUACCUACCACCCACAUCCCGAGGUGAAACACGACAUUCACCCCAGAAGCCCUUUAUGUCCUUUUCAGUCACAGCCCCCAGGGGUAACCAUUCUCUGGUUUCUAACAACUUAGAUCAGCUUUGCUUGGUUCUGUGCUUUGUGUUACUAGAAUGCUGCGAUGGGUACUCUUGUCUCUGGGUCUCUCCGGGUUAUUGGACAGAGUUGUAAUUAAUUUCCUCUUGUUGCCAUUUAGGAUACCAUAAUUCACUUAUCCAUUCCCCUGCUGAUAGGUGUUUGGGUUGUUUCCAGUUUGAGGCCAUUGCAGAUAGUGGCACCGUAAGCAUUUUAUGUCUUUGGUUGUGCCUUUCGCUGAGAGUGGAAUGCUGACUCAAGGGAUAUGGUCAGCUUAGUGGCGUAUUAGCCUUUUUGUUGCUGCCAUAACAAAUUACAAGAAGUGUAAUGAGUGGUUAAAACAAAAGCUUUAUCAUCUGACAAGUCUGUGGCUCAGAAGUCCAGGUUGGCUCAAGUAGUCUGUGCUCCAGGCUCAUGAGGCAGUGUCAGCUGGCUGGAGUCUUCUGGGGAUGUGCUAGGAGGAAUUGGCGUCCUUCAGUCUCCUUCAUUAAAUUAAAAUGGCCAGUGCCAUAUCAUUCAAACUUGCCAAAUUCAUUGAGAGCAAGAGACAGGAAGGGGUCAUGAGAUAUUUAUCUCCUUUAUCCCUUAGGGUCACAGUGGGGGCAUGAGACAAGGAGAGGUAGGACAGGUACGUACUUGACUGGUCCAUCCAUCAUAAGAUGCAUUUCAGCUCUCUCAUCUUCGAGGAUCUCCUUCUGGACACCCCACUCCUGGUAUCAGGUUGUGCCUCCAGGCAAGGGCUAGUCAGGAAAACAGGAACCACUCUAGGUAUUGCAAAAAUUGAAUAGUUGGACUUUGAUAAACAGGUGUUGGAAGACUCAAAAAAACCACAAAACUGUAAGAGGCAGCUACCACACACCGGAGGAUGAGGAGUAAAGGGAGCGUCUGGGCUUACAGAGUCGAAAAGUUCAGAGGAGGCGCCCUGAGGAUGGGCACCAGCCUGUGAAGAAGGUGGCAUGCCCAGGCUGUGGUGCUCCUGUGAAGCUGUUUUCGGAGAAUGGAAUGAAGCUGAGUGUGGAGCCAGCCACGGUUGCAGGAAGGGCCACUGCUGUAGUGCCACCAUCAGGACAUGGCCAAGACAGGAUGGAGCUCACGAUUUCCUGGUCUCCUAGAAGCUCCCAUGGUAGAGCCAACACAGAGCUGGCCGCGUAUGAAGAAAUGUGUAGUGCCUCCACCCCAGGUGGGGUUUGGAGCCCAGAGUCAGCAGCAUGUUAACCGGCACAAGGAAACCGAGUCUUUCUCCCCUUUGCCUGGCUUUGUUCUCCUCUCACUUCCUCUUCAGGUUGGGACCUACCAGACUCAAACACCAAGAGGGCGAGAAGCCACAUAGGCACGUGCUCAGCAGCACUCCAUAGCUGGCGGCACUCUGGCUGGCGCGUGCGUGCGUGGGACUUGCUCACACAUGGGAGUUGGCCACAGUGCUCCAGAGAUGUCUUUGCCCAGCCUGUCUCCCUGGUCUCUCCAAGUAGUUCCCAGACUCCACCCAAAGGUGCUUCAAGGGAAAGUGCUCCUUCCCUCUUCAGCCCAAAGCUGCUACACAGUUAACAGAGCCCAGUACAAAAUGGAAAGGUGCCUGAGAAACAGUUAAGUAGGAAUGCUGCACAAGAGCAGCUCAGCCGUCUGCACUUCGCUUGUUGGAACACACACCCUGCCGCACUCUUUGGCUGCUGCUCCGUAAGGAAGGUCUCGGGAAAAGGCACUGUUAUGGCCCCAUACUUCCCUUUCCUUCUCUGUCACCAGCUCCAACCUAACUUGUUGACUGAUGUGAGGAAGUAACUGAGGUCCACAAACUUGGCUCAAAACAGCACAGGUGCAGUAUCUUACAGUUCUGCGGGCCAGAGUUUAGCAUGGGUUCCAUGGGGCCCAAAGCCAGACGCCAGAGGGAUGGCUCCUUCCGGAAGCUCUGGAGAGAAUCUGCGUCUCUGCUGAGGCCCGUUCCUCGAGGCCCCUUGUGCUCCUGGACCCAGGCCCCUCCUGCCGUCAAGGCCAGACCUGCUUCCACCGUCACGUCUUCCCUGGCUCUCUUCUACCUCCCUCCUCUGCAUUUAAGGACCCAUGUGGCUCCGUUACGCUCACUAUGAUAAAGCAAAAUGAUAUCCCCGCCUCAAGAUCCUUGGCCUCAUCACGAACCUACCAAGACCCUUCUGCCAUGGAAAGUUACAGUCACGGGUUCCGGGGAUGAGGAAGUAGACAUUUUGGGGGUCGUUCUGCCUAUCCCAGAUGGGGAUGACAACCUCAUAUCCCCCUUUUUAAAAAAGAUGAAAUGCUUCACGAAUU